rnacentral:snRNA from 1 species
GCCAGUGGCGCGAAGCUACC